rnacentral:rRNA from 1 species
AACGCUAGCUACAGGCUUAACACAUGCAAGUCGAGGGGAAACGAUGGGAGGGCUUGCCCUCCCAGGCGUCGACCGGCGCACGGGUGAGUAACACGUAUCCAACCUGCCCUCUUCCGGGGAACAACCUUGCGAAAGUAAGACUAAUGCCCCAUGUGUCCUCAGACGGCAUCAGACGAGGACGAAAGAUUUAUCGGAAGUGGAUGGGGAUGCGCCUGAUUAGGCAGUUGGCGGGGCAACGGCCCACCAAGCCGACGAUCAGUAGGGGUUUUGAGAGGAAGGUCCCCCACAUUGGAACUGAGACACGGUCCAAACUCCUACGGGAGGCAGCAGUGAGGAAUAUUGGUCAAUGGGCGAGAGCCUGAACCAGCCAAGUAGCGUGCAGGAUGACGGCCCUAUGGGUUGUAAACUGCUUUUAUGUGGGGAUAAAGUGAGCCACGUGUGACUCAUUGCAGGUACCACAUGAAUAAGGACCGGCUAAUUCCGUGCCAGCAGCCGCGGUAAUACGGAAGGUCCGGGCGUUAUCCGGAUUUAUUGGGUUUAAAGGGAGCGUAGGCCGUGCUUUAAGCGUGUUGUGAAAUGUAGACGCUCAACGUCUGAAUUGCAGCGCGAACUGGGGCACUUGAGUGCGCACGAGGCAGGCGGAAUUCGUGGUGUAGCGGUGAAAUGCUUAGAUAUCACGAAGAACUCCGAUUG